UACGUAGGUGGCAAGCGUUGUUCGGAAUUAUUGGGCGUAAAGAGCGUGUAGGCGGCCAUGUAGGUCCGGUGUGAAAACUCGAGGCUCAACCUCGAGAUGUCGGCGGAAACCGUUUGGCUAGAGUCCGGAAGAGGAGAGUGGAAUUCCUGGUGUAGCGGUGAAAUGCGCAGAUAUCAGGAAGAACACCUAUGGCGAAGGCAGCUCUCUGGGACGGUACUGACGCUGAGACGCGAAAGCGUGGGGAGCGAACAGG
rnacentral:rRNA from 1 species